rnacentral:rRNA from 1 species
GACGAACGCUGGCGGCGUGCCUAAUACAUGCAAGUCGAGCGCAGGAAAUCGACGGAACCCUUCGGGGGGAAGUCGACGGAAUGAGCGGCGGACGGGUGAGUAACACGUAAAGAACCUGCCCUCAGGUCUGGGAUAACCACGAGAAAUCGGGGCUAAUACCGGAUGGGUCAUCGGACCGCAUGGUCCGAGGAUGAAAGGCGCUUCGGCGUCGCCUGGGGAUGGCUUUGCGGUGCAUUAGCUAGUUGGUGGGGUAAUGGCCCACCAAGGCGACGAUGAAUAGCCGACCUGAGAGGGUGAUCGGCCACACGGGGACUGAGACACGGCCCAGACUCCUACGGGAGGCAGCAGUAGGGAAUCUUCCACAAUGGACGAAAGUCUGAUGGAGCAACGCCGCGUGAACGAUGAAGGCCUUCGGGUCGUAAAGUUCUGUUGUAAGGGAAGAACAAGUGCCGCAGGCAAUGGCGGCACCUUGACGGUACCUUGCGAGAAAGCCACGGCUAACUACGUGCCAGCCGCCGCAGUAA